rnacentral:rRNA from 1 species
UCAUGGCUCAGGAUGAACGCUAGCGACAGGCUAACACAUGCAAGUCGAGGGGCAGCAUAAAAGUAGCAAUACUUGGUGGCGACCGGCGCACGGGUGAGUAACGCGUAUGCAACCUACCUAUCAGAGGGGAAUAACCCGGCGAAAGUCGGACUAAUACCGCAUAAAACAGGGACACCGCAUGGUGAUAUUUGUUAAAGAAAUUCGCUGAUAGAUGGGCAUGCGUUCCAUUAGGUAGUUGGUGAGGUAACGGCUCACCAAGCCGACGAUGGAUAGGGGAACUGAGAGGUUGGUCCCCCACACUGGUACUGAGACACGGACCAGACUCCUACGGGAGGCAGCAGUGAGGAAUAUUGGUCAAUGGGCGAGAGCCUGAACCAGCCAAGUCGCGUGAAGGAAGAAGGAUCUAUGGUUCGUAAACUUCUUUUGCAGGGGAAUAAAGUGCAGGACGUGUCCUGUUUUGUAUGUACCCUGAGAAUAAGGAUCGGCUAACUCCGUGCCAGCCGCCGC